rnacentral:rRNA from 1 species
GUGAACGCUGGCGGUCGGCCCAACACCUGCAAGUCGCACGGCAGCACAGUAAGAGCUUGCUCUUACGGGUGGCGAGUGGCGGACGGGUGAGGAAUACAUCGGAAUCUACUUUUUCGUGGGGGAUAACGUAGGGAAACUUACGCUAAUACCGCAUACGACCUACGGGUGAAAGCAGGGGAUCUUCGGACCUUGCGCGAUUGAAUGAGCCGAUGUCGGAUUAGCUAGUUGGCGGGGUAAAGGCCCACCAAGGCGACGAUCCGUAGCUGGUCUGAGAGGAUGAUCAGCCACACUGGAACUGAGACACGGUCCAGACUCCUACGGGAGGCAGCAGUGGGGAAUAUUGGACAAUGGGCGCAAGCCUGAUCCAGCCAUACCGCGUGGGUGAAGAAGGCCUUCGGGUUGUAAAGCCCUUUUGUUGGGAAAGAAAAGCAGCAGGUUAAUACCCCGCUGUUCUGACGGUACCCAAAGAAUAAGCACCGGCUAACUUCGUG